GACGAACGCUGGCGGCGUGCUUAACACAUGCAAGUCGAGCGGGGAGUUGGACUUCGGUUCAACUUCUAGCGGCGGACGGGUGAGUAACGCGUGAGCAACCUUUCCUUCACUGGGGAAUAACACCGGGAAACUGGUACUAAUACCGCAUGAGACCACAGCAUCGCAUGGUGCAGGGGUCAAAGAUUUAUUGGUGAAGGGUGGGCUCGCGUCUGAUUAGGUAGUUGGUGAGGUAACGGCCCACCAAGCCGACGAUCAGUAGCCGACCUGAGAGGGUGACCGGCCACAUUGGGACUGAGACACGGCCCAA
rnacentral:rRNA from 1 species